ensembl:lncRNA
CGUGCUUACGUCACCACACAAACAGUAACGGUGCCGCGCUGUCUCGACUAGACUUUUACUUUUUACUGUUUUGGCAGUGAUCAAAAGUUUUGCAUCGUGGCUUCUUCGUCGCACAGCAAAGUUAAAUGUUGACUUGACAGUCUGAUUUCGGAUGGGGGACAAUGGGACUUUGUCGAGGGCACAGUGCUCUGCGCUCUUUUGGACUUUUCUUCAGGCGGACUGCGGAGAGUGUCCACAAGAAUACUGCAAGGAGCUACUGUCUCUGAGCAAAGGCUUCAGUGGCACUGAAGCUUUACUGAGCGACUCACUCUGUGGAGAUCUGGAUAGUACUGAUGGAGAUCUGGAGACUGAUGGUCACCUCUCCAGCAAUAUCCGCAUUGCUCUUGAGGGCAUCGAAGUCUCUCCAGAUGUACAUGGUCCUGAGAACAUUCGUCAGAUUGCAGCAGAGAUACGUGAAAUAGCUGCCCAAUUUGAACAGAAUGUUGUAGCUCAAGCCACUCUGAACCUUACCAGAAAGCUAAUGGGAUCCUCCAUGGAACACUGGAAAGCAUAUCUUCACCAGGAAGUCCACAACAUGCUGGUACAUGGCGUGGGACUGGAUAAUCUACAACAAGAGCGUGUGGUAGCAGCCCUCACUUUCACCCUGGUAAAGGGAGUGUGUCUACAGGCUCCCAGACUGCUAAGGGGUUUGUUUGACACAACACUGCAGUACCUCAGUUCUAGAGGAGCCAAGUGACUUUCUACAAAGGAAGUAACAGAAGGUGUGGUUAAAAAAAAAAUUAAGAAAAGCUCAGUUUGAGUGGUCAUUAGUGAAUUUUGCCUACAGUAUUUAUGAUUUUGACUAUGACCAUAAACCUAAAAACUUGAAUACUUGAUUUUUAUUUUGUUACUUCAAUACAAUUGUUAUUUUUGUAGCUGUACAUUUGAUUUAACAGUGUUACUCUGGCACUUAUAAACGAUUGGAAGUUACAAACGAUGAUGUGUCUUCUAUUAAAUGUAUUAUGUUAAAUUAGCUGACCAUAACACAUAUUCUAA